AUAACGGUCCUAAGGUAGCGAAAUUCCUUGUCAGGUAAGUUCUGACCCGCACGAAAGGCGUAAUGAUUUGGGCACUGUCUCGACAAUGUACCCGGCGAAAUUGUAGUACUAGUGAAGAUGCUAGUUACCUGCGACAAGACAGAAAGACCCCAUGGAGCUUUACUGUAGUUUGAUAUUGGGUUUUGGUAAUUUAUGUACAGGAUAGGUGGGAGACAGAGAAGGAUGUGCGUCAGCAUAUCUGGAGUCAACGUUGGGAUACCACUCUUAAGUUAUUGAAAUUCUAACUUGUGAUCAUAAACUGGUCAGAGGACAAUGUCAGACGGGCAGUUUGACUGGGGCGGUCGCCUCCAAAAGAGUAACGGAGGCGCCCAAAGGUUCCCUCAGUGCGGACAGAAAUCGCACAAAAGAGUGUAAAGGCAGAAGGGAGCUUAACUGGAAGAUAGACAUAUCGAGCAGAUACGAAAGUAGGGCUUAGUGAUCCGGUGGAAUUGAAUGGAAAAGCCAUCGCUCAACGGACAAAAGUUACCCUGGGGAUAACAGGCUUAUCUCCCCCAAGAGUUCACAUCGACGGGGAGGUUUGGCACCUCGAUGUCGGCUCAUCGCAUCCUGGAGCGGAAGUACGUUCCAAGGGUUGGGCUGUUCGCCCAUUAAAGCGGUACGCGAGCUGGGUUCAGAACGUCGUGAGACAGUUCGGUCCUUAUCUGUCGCAGGCGGAAGAUAUUUGAAGGGAGCUGUCCUUAGUACGAGAGGACCAGGAUGGACAUACCGAUGGUUUAUCAGUUGUCACACCAGUGGCAUGGCUGAGUAGCCAAGUAUGGAAGGGAUAAACGCUGAAAGCAUCUAAGUGUGAAGCCCACCCUAAGAUAAGAUAUCUCAUACCGUAAGGUAGUAAGAUUCCAUAAAGACUAUGUGGUUGAUAGGUUGGAGGUGUAAGUACAGUAAUGUAUUGAGCUGACCAAUACUAAUAAAUCGAGGGCUUAACCAC
rnacentral:rRNA from 1 species